rnacentral:rRNA from 1 species
GACGGAAGGUGCAAGCGUUGCUCGGAAUCACUGGGCGUAAAGGGUGCGUAGGCGGCCGCGCAAGUCUGGCGUGAAAGCCCGGGCUCAGCCCGGGAAGGGCGCUCGAAACGGCGCGGCUCGAGUGCCGGAGGGGAGAGUGGAAUUCCUGGUGUAGCGGUGAAAUGCGUAGAUAUCAGGAGGAACACCGGUGGUGUAAACGGCUUUCUGGACCAUAACUGACACUGAGGCACGAAAGCGUGGGUAGCAAACAGG